AUCUUCGGAUUCAGUGGCGGACGGGUGAGUAACACGUGGGAAUCUACUGAGUAGUGGGGGACAGCCCGGCGAAAGCCGGAUUAAUACCGCAUACGCCCUACGGGGGAAAGGCGCAAGCCGCUAUUUAAUGAGCCCGCGUAAGAUUAGCUAGUUGGUAGGGUAAAGGCUUACCAAGGCAACGAUCUUUAGCUGGUCUGAGAGGAUGGCCAGCCACAUCGGGACUGAGACACGGCCCGGACUCCUACGGGAGGCAGCAGUCGGGAAUAUUGGACAAUGGGCGCAAGCCUGAUCCAGCAAUACCGCGUGUGUGAAGAAGGCCUGCGGGUUGUAAAGCACUUUCAGUUGGGAAGAUAAUGACGUUACCAACAGAAGAAGCACCGGCUAACUCCGUGCCAGCAGCCGCGGUAAUACGGAGGGUGCAAGCGUUAAUCGGUAUUACUGGGCGUAAAGCGUGCGUAGGCGGUUUUUUAAGUCAGAUGUGAAAUCCCCGGGCUCAACCUGGGAACUGCAUCUGAUACUGGGAGACUAGAGUGUGGGAGAGGAGAGUGGAAUCUCCGGUGUAGCGGUGAAAUGCAUAGAGAUCGGAAGGAACAUCAGUGGCGAAGGCGACUCUCUGGACCAACACUGACGCUGAGGCACGAAAGCGUGGGUAGCAAACAGGAUUAGAUACCCUGGUAGUCC
rnacentral:rRNA from 1 species